UUUUGAAGGGGAUAAAUGUAAGCAAAUGCUGAACAACAUGCCGAUUCUGAAGGCACAGAUCCCCUCCACAGAACUGCAAAUUGAAGACUCAAGGCUCCUGUUUUGUUGAAAAGGGACUUUUGAGCCCAACAAGGGGUGUACGCCAGAAAAUCCUGUGGUCAGCCCUGAAGGGCAAAACAGAUCUCUGCUGAGCAGAGCAGCAGAGGAAGUGUCAAAGCUGCACAUUGGAGAUGGGGAAGAAAAAUCUCACCUUGGAUUCAGGGACUGGAAUUCAUCAUAAACUCACACUUCAGCCUUCUUCUCCCAGGAGGAUCAGCAUCGGGGUAGAGGCACUAUGGGACAAUUCCUUUCCUGGGACAAGGGUAGACACAGGAGAACUCGAGCUUUUAUUACAAGCUGGAAAACUGAAACCCAAAGGUGGAAAUCUGUUACCAGUGCAUUUUUUUUUUUAUAAAAUAGUUUAAAAGAGCUUAUCUAAAUUUAAAUAUCUAGCUUUAAGCAGUUUAUUUCCUUGCACAACAAACUAAACAGAUGAUUCAAGAGCAUGUAAAAAUUCAGCUGCUCUGUUGGCAUUUGAAUGGUUUGUCCUCACAUGCAUCAGCAUCCCUUUACUUACAAUAUUUCAUCCCUUCUGUUUGCAAAAUGGGUAGGGUUUUCCCAGGCAGAUACUUUGUCUGGACUGCACCAUAUUCGAUCUUCGAAUAAUCAGUUCAAACUGCAAGUCAAACACCUCUUCUACUCCAUUCUCUGUAAUUGAUUCAUUAUUUCUCUCAAAUUCUUUGGCUGCUUCAUGUCUUUUUGCCAGUGUGAUGCAUAUUAAGCAAUCAGGUCAUUCCAGGUUGCUUUUGUUUGUGUUACUCCUAUGAAUUCAGUUUAUAUUUAACCCUGGGAAUAACAGACAUAAAAAAGCCAACACCAAAAAAAGAAGGGAGGAUGCAUCCAGUGCAGUCAAUAUCAUGUCCAGUCACAGAGUUAGGAGGGGACAGGAUGAUUGAAGGGAAUGAUAAAGGGCACGAGCUUCUAGUUUUUGGAAUUGGUUUAGGUUUGAUAAAUCAGAAAACUGUUACCAAGUAAGAG